rnacentral:rRNA from 1 species
AAUACAUGCAAGUCGAGCGCGGGAAGCAAGCUGAUCCUCUUCGGAGGUGACGCUUGUGGAACGAGCGGCGGACGGGUGAGUAACACGUGGGCAACCUGCCUGUAAGACUGGGAUAACCCCGGGAAACCGGGGCUAAUACCGGAUAAUACUUUUCAUCACCUGAUGAGAAAGUUGAAAGGUGGCUUUUAGCUACCACUUACAGAUGGGCCCGCGGCGCAUUAGCUAGUUGGUGAGGUAACGGCUCACCAAGGCAACGAUGCGUAGCCGACCUGAGAGGGUGAUCGGCCACACUGGGACUGAGACACGGCCCAGACUCCUACGGGAGGCAGCAGUAGGGAAUCUUCCGCAAUGGACGAAAGUCUGACGGAGCAACGCCGCGUGAGUGAUGAAGGUUUUCGGAUCGUAAAGCUCUGUUGUUAGGGAAGAACAAGUGCCGUUCGAAUAGGGCGGCACCUUGACGGUACCUAACCAGAAAGCCCCGGCUAACUACGUGCCAGCAGCCGCGGUAAUACGUAGGGGGCAAGCGUUGUCCGGAAUUAUUGGGCGUAAAGCGCGCGCAGGCGGUCCUUUAAGUCUGAUGUGAAAGCCCACGGCUCAACCGUGGAGGGUCAUUGGAAACUGGAGGACUUGAGUACAGAAGAGGAGAGUGGAAUUCCACGUGUAGCGGUGAAAUGCGUAGAGAUGUGGAGGAACACCAGUGGCGAAGGCGACUCUCUGGUCUGUAACUGACGCUGAGGCGCGAAAGCGUGGGGAGCGAACAGGAUUAGAUACCCUGGUAGUCCACGCCGUAAACGAUGAGUGCUAGGUGUUAGGGGGUUUCCGCCCCUUAGUGCUGAAGUUAAC